rnacentral:misc_RNA from 1 species
GGUUUGCAAACCCACCAAAUCAGACAUUUCCAUUUCUCCUCAAUGUUGACUACCCUCUUUUUCUCUACUUUGAUUGAAACCAGAGGUUUUCAAUGGCGUUGACGGCACAUCUCGCACGUAGUAGCAGAUCUAAUGUUCACAAAGGUACAGUGCUCACAUGACCAAUGAGUUGCGCUGUCACUACUUCUGGUGGUCGAACCAGCAGUUCGACUGACUCCCUUACCACGUCCACUUCUCCCUCCUUUACUACUUCCUGCUGUGCUUUUUGAGCUCGUUGUGCCGCUGCUUGCUCCAUGAGAGUUCACAUCUGAGAGCCCAUUCUCUAAUGCUCUAACCAGGUUCUCAAAGUAAUUUCGAGUAACACUGGUCAGACCAGCCAGCUUUGUGCGGAAGUCGUUAAAUUCUUUUGAUGGACCUUCUGCAUUGAGGAACUGGAGUAAUUCCUUUUCGGCACAUUGAUGGAGCCUUUCUAAUCCAGACUCAGCCUCACCUUGCAAAUACUCAAAAAACUGUCUCUUGGCA